ACCUCCUUCGGGAGGGGAUUAGUGGCGAACGGGUGAGUAACACGUGGGCAAUCUGCCCUGCACUCUGGGACAAGCCCUGGAAACGGGGUCUAAUACCGGAUACUGAUCAUCUUGGGCAUCCUUGGUGAUCGAAAGCUCCGGCGGUGCAGGAUGAGCCCGCGGCCUAUCAGCUUGUUGGUGAGGUAAUGGCUCACCAAGGCGACGACGGGUAGCCGGCCUGAGAGGGCGACCGGCCACACUGGGACUGAGACACGGCCCAGACUCCUACGGGAGGCAGCAGUGGGGAAUAUUGCACAAUGGGCGAAAGCCUGAUGCAGCGACGCCGCGUGAGGGAUGACGGCCUUCGGGUUGUAAACCUCUUUCAGCAGGGAAGAAGCGAAAGUGACGGUACCUGCAGAAGAAGCGCCGGCUAACUACGUGCCAGCAGCCGCGGUAAUACGUAGGGCGCGAGCGUUGUCCGGAAUUAUUGGGCGUAAAGAGCUCGUAGGCGGCUUGUCGCGUCGGUUGUGAAAGCCCGGGGCUUAACCCCGGGUCUGCAGUCGAUACGGGCAGGCUAGAGUUCGGUAGGGGAGAUCGGAAUUCCUGGUGUAGCGGUGAAAUGCGCAGAUAUCACGAGGAACACCGGUGGCGAAAGCGGAUCUCUGGGCCGAUACUGACGCUGAGGAGCGAAAGCGUGGGGAGCGAACAGGAUUAGAUACCCUGGUAGUCCACGCCGUAAACGGUGGGCACUAGGUGUGGGCGACAUUCCACGUCGUCCGUGCCGCAGCUAACGCAUUAAGUGCCCCGCCUGGGGGAGUACGGCCGCAAGGCUAAAACUCAAA
rnacentral:rRNA from 1 species